rnacentral:lncRNA from 1 species
AAAAAAUGAAACCAAACUUGAACCAAAAUUUAUAAAUAACCGAACAUAUCAUAUAUAUCUAGAACCAAGAUAAAUAGAUACCUGAAUUUUUAAAAUACAAAUUAUAUACCUACAAAUAUUAAUUAUAUGUAAUUUCUAAAUAACCAAAUAUCUUAAAUAUACUAUUUAUAAGCUGAAUUAUCCAAUAAAAACAAAUUACUCAA